rfam:Macropus eugenii clone ME_KBa-169G7, complete sequence.
UGAUGCCCCUCACCCACUGUUGAAGACCCUCAGUGGGUGAGGGGGCGGCAAGGAUC